UGAUGAUGCAGUCUAAGAUGGAAACGGGCUAACCUGAAAGGGUAUGACAGUUAUUAUUAAACCCACAACGCUUUGGUUUCUACACGGCAUCGUGCCGAAACGCUUAAUCGCUUGGCGGCACGGCUUUGCCGGUAGGGUGGUAACUAGCCACAGCCGAAGCCUGCUGCCAGAC